UCAGACCGCACGCGUUCCACUUACUCCAACAGUUAUCAUUCUGCACCGAUCCUCAGACUGUACGGUGCGCCGAGAACGGAGAACAGUGGGAGAGAAAUACGACAGCAGAUCUACGACCUCUCAGCUCUCAUGGCUAUAUUUAUGCUCCUGUUGUUCCUUCUGUCUGCAGCAGCUUCUGACCAAGAAGCAGUAACAGUGUACCCUGGAGAUGAUGUCAUUCUGCCAUGUCGGGCUGCUUAUUACACCAUCGGCGUUGUAGAGUGGAGCAGACCUGACCUGGAGGAGGAAUACAUCCUCUUAUACAGAGAUGGACACUUGGAUCCAACCCACCAGCAUCCAGACUUUAAGGACAGGGUGGACCUGGUGGACAGAGAUCUGAAGGAUGGAGACGUGUCUUUAAUUCUGAAGAAUGUGAGAGGCAUGGACACUGGAAUAUAUGAGUGUUGAGUUAUGCCAGCUGUCUUAAGACAUAAAAACAGACUCGCCCUUGUGUCUGAGCCAAUCGGAACCAUCCGUCUGCAGGUUACAGGUUUCGAGGAUGGACACUCAAUGAAUGCUGUCCCUGAGGAUAGAAACUCCUCUCCUGUAGGCCGAUACCGUGGACUGGCAGCAGGUGUUCCAGUUGGACUGAUUCUUGUAGCUGCUGCAGUGGUUGGUGUCCUGAUAUUUUAAAAGACAUAAUGACAAGGGCUCAGGACUGUGUCACUCACAGAGCUCUUUACACCUGGCAGUUGUCUCACGUGGCAUAUAUUCAAGACUUCUCUUACUCUGGGUGUGGGGUCAUGUUUACAUCUGCUCCUAGUUUUUUCUCAUCCAAUUCCUCCCCUCCAUGAAUCUCACAUACUUUUUUUCAAGUAAGGUUCUGUUACUUUAAAUACAUUUUACUUGAGUAAAAGUUCUGCAAUAAUGUCUCCCCUCUGAAUCUCUACCUUACCAUGGUGGGGGGGAGGGUUGUGUAUCUGAGUCUGGGAUCUGUAUUAUCUGGAGCUCUGAGAUCCUCUAGGGUAUCCAUGAUAAGAUGUCCCCAGAGGAGGGUCAGAGAGAGAGAGAUUCACUUCAAAUUAACUUUACCUUUAGAGAACUAGAAUAUUUACUUGAGUAAAAGUUUCUUCAAAGAAAAACAAAUGUUACUUAACUGAAAGUACUUUUACCUUAUAUACAUUUUCCUUAUAUACACAUAAACAGAAAUAUUUUGCUCCAUUAAACAGAUUAAAUGUAACAAUAAUGUACUCAGUGCUGAUAUAGCACUGACCUUGUCACGGCAAACAGAAAAUGUUUCUUCAGGUUAAAAUAUCAGCAGACCGAGCACCCACCAAAUAUCUUAUAAUCAGGUGUAGAGGUCUUUAACAUGUUAUCUGUGUGUUUGAUCGAGUUAACUAUACAUUUCAUAUGGUGUUUAUUUUGUAUGUUUUUUUUCUACUCAGCCAUUUAGAGGGAUUAUGGUCUCUGCUCAAAAUAUAUUUCCAGCUUAUGUUAUAAAAUCAAAUAACCUUGAAUUGUUUAAACUCAGCAGUUGAAUACAGUGAAUAUUGUUUGUAAUUGUAAUUAUAAAAGCAUCUGAUGCAGCUCAGAAUAUCUCAGGGGAACCUGGAGGACGAAUCCAUCAGAAAAUAAGACGCUAAACUGCAUUUCUAUCUACAAGGAAGUGUUAUAAGAAAAUGUUAAUAAUACAAAUGAUUUGAGACUCAACUAGUUCAAUUAAAUAAGGUUGUUAUUUAAUACAUGAACAGACACUUCAUGAAACCUUUAAUUACUAACUUACAGUAUUUCAGUCAUGUACAGAAAAUAUAUACUGCAAAUAUAAAACAAGUGUCCUUUUUAUAAAGAGAAAAUAAAUACUUUUUUGUUA